GGAAAAGUCUGGAGAAAGCGCCAGCUUCCAAUUUGGGAUUACUUUGAAUUUGACUGUGUUUUGGAUAAAGCAAGUGUCUUGUAGUGGAACGAGACAAAUUAUGAGGGACAUUUCUAAAGGGAAAAAAAUCCCACAAACCUUAAAGUGCACUUGAAAAGCUCACACAAGAAGGCUAACCUAGCUUACCUUGAGAAGGUAAGGGAGCACGCCCAACCCUCAUCCCCAGAAACAGAAGCUAACACCAGGCAAUGCAGCGUGAUGCAUCCCGAGACAACAGGACUGGGAUAUCUACAUAACUGUCACAAAGAGGGAGAGAGAGGAACAGAGGGGGAGAGAGAGGAGCAGAGAGGGAGAUGGAGAAUGAGGACAGAACAGAGAUCGAACAAGAGCAGGUACGUCCCUGACAGAGGGAGCUCGACGCGCUGCGCCGCCGCUUUGACAGCUGGCUCGGGCAGGAGUUGUUCGGUUAGAGCAGGGGUGUCGAACUCCAGGCCUCAAGGGCCGGUGUCCUGCAGGUUUUAGAUAUCACCCUGGGUCAACACACCUGAAUCACAUGAUUAGUUCAUUACCAGGCCUCUGGAGAACUUAAAACAUGUUGAGGAGGUCAUUUAGCCAUUUAAAUCAGCUGUGUU
ensembl:lncRNA